UCCGCGACAGUACAAAGCAACUUGAAAAAUGCAUGCCAGGAUUAGGCAAGUGAAGUUUAAUUUUGCGGUUCCCUAGACUUGCCUUAUAAAACAUAUGGUCGACAUGAGCAAUUAGGGUAUAUUCGCUCUAAAAUUAGCAACAUGUGUGAAGUUCCGCUGCUUUGUUCGCAAACCACGCUUAGAGGUCCUUAGUCUAAUCUAUAUUGCGGUUUAUAAAAAGCACACGUUUCUGCAAAGGCAUACACAUCGAUGAGCUCAAACCAAUACAAGCAUAUAUCUAAAUAUAUACAUAACCAGCAGACAAAGGAUCGUGCGUAUACGCAAAUACAUGCAUGCGGUAACAAGUACACAACUCGUAAUCAGUAAUCAGUUUGAAAGCUGCAAUUAAGAGAUGCGUAUAAGUACGUUUUAUCAGUUUAACAUAUGUGACCCUGGAAAAAGGACAAUAGCACCUCGAUCUUUGCCGGAGAAGAGAGCGAGGAGAGAUUGAGCGUGAAUGGAGGAUUGUCGGGAAGGCUCGGGGAGGGGGGAGGACUGGGGUGUCAUCAUCGGAGGAAGGCACCGCAACCAGCCUGCUUGCCCGGCCGCCGAUAACAAAGCAUCCUUCUCCUUUCUUUAAUACCCGUUAAAUAAAGUAGACCAGCAAAGGUAAUCCUCCAUUUAGUAUAUUUUCUACCAUCGGUUUAUUUUGUCUAAGCGAAAUGUAUUUAAGUUUUUAAAAUGUAUAAUUGAGUUAAUAGUAAAUGAGAUGUAUUAUUAUUAUUUUCUUUUCUAUUAAAGAGUCAAUAACCUAUAACAGGGUGACAUCAAGUCGUUGGAGAGAUAGAACGGAAGAAAGACAGGAAACAAAUCAUAGAUCUUUCAAAAGCCGUAACUUAAUUGUUAUGCAUAUUUUUAGAUCAAUCUUUUACUUAACACGUUUAUUCAUCGUCACACUAUUAUUAAACCCAUGUGAGUACGUGUGAUAUCAAAGUGUCCUAUAAAUAUCCCCUUCUGGUUUAUUUUUUUCUUCCUCUCUGUGUGAACGGCUGUUUGAGUCUGUGGAGAGCCCCAGUGACAGAAGGGAUGUUGUCCUUGAACUGGGGUCCCAGACGGGCAGUACCCCACACAAUAGCGUGAAGAGAACACAGGACAUCCUGCUCUCCAUGCACCUCCAGGCAGCCUGAAAACACGGCUUUCCUGCAGUGUUCCUGCGCCCCCCAACCAGACCUCCACCCAACCUGACCCCACCCCCGCCUCAGGCCCACAUACUUCUUAAUGAGAGAAGAUAGAUUCUUGUCUGGCACAAUGGGGUGACUUUGGUUUAUUAUCAGCUAUAGUCCGCAGAUUGCUUGUGGACGAUGCCUGGACAUGCUUUUAGGGUGGUGCAGUGGUUAACGACGCGGAUUCCUAGAAGGCUGAAGCCCCAAGAGGCUCUGCUAUCCUGCUCUAGCGAAGGUUCUUCAACUGAAGCUCUGUAGUGGAAAAUCCAUCAGGAUAAAUCCAUUUAAAGAGAAGCUUGGGGCACAUGCAAUAUUUAAAAUCUGUCACCUCAGAGAAGAAGCAGGUCCUUACAUUCAGAUCGAGUCCAUGAAAAUCUGAUUAUCAAGACUUCACUGCCACACAAAUCAAUAUCAGUGGGCCUUAGCUUCUCAUGUAAGGCAGACAGCCCCCCUGGUCCCCCUCCCCGCAACACUCCUCAGGAGGGUCGCUGUGAUCAGCUUUGCCUGGGCUGUGGGUGAACACAAUGUUCUGCUGAUUCUUUGUGGUGUUGCAUUCUUCCAAUUAGUUACAGUAGGCUUUGCUGCAUUGUACUGCUAUAUGGCCCGUAUUUAAUAUUUCCUGGCCAGUACUUGUUUAUUGUUCUGGUCUCCGAUUUAAGCCUUUGAAUGAUUGCAGUUAUUGGAGCUGGCGGCGAAUGUUGUGGCAAACUGUCAGCUCUGUACCCUUGAGACACUACGAAACACUUGUGAACCACACUUGUCAAAGACACUAUUUCCCAGUGAUGGACAGUUCAUACAAGCAGGCACUAAAGUCAAACAGUGCCAGCCCUGGCAGGCAGGGAGAAUUGCAGCAGCCUAAACGUACCAGCUGCUUACAGAUCAGGGACCUCUCUCGCAAUCCAUAAUUACAUGUUGUAAUGAGUAGCGAGCUGGGAUGGAUGCCGGAGGUUGACGUAGGCGUGCCAUGCGUGGAGGGUCACUCCUUGGGAGGUCAUGGCCUAGUGCUGCUUCCAGCAUGACAGAUGAACACUGAGGAGUGGAACCUUGAGGAGAAACAUCCCAGAUCCCAGCUCUGGCAUACGGGAGAGAAGAACAAAGGAUGUAAAGCACCCCAUAAAUUACCCCUGGGAUUCUGCUCGAAUCCAACUACAAAACAUGGGGUUUUAGGAGCUCAGCCUUUUCAAAUUCAGCCCCUGAGCCUCCUUCUGAGCGCUGGGCAUUCCUGUCAGGAGGAGGCAGAGGCUAGGCAUUUGCUGCCUGAAAAAAGGAAUCUAUAGUGCAUUAUAGAUGAGAGCUUCACGAGUCAUAAUGCAUAAUAAAGAUGGCUAUAAUGUGC